UCCUGUAUGAACAAAUAGCCCAAGAAAU
rnacentral:sRNA from 1 species